CCUACGGGAGGCAGCAGUGGGGAAUCUUGGACAAUGGGGGCAACCCUGAUCUAGCCAUGCCGCGUGAGUGAUGAAGGCCUUAGGGUCGUAAAGCUCUUUCGCCUGUGAAGAUAAUGACGGUAGCAGGUAAAGAAACCCCGGCUAACUCCGUG
rnacentral:rRNA from 1 species